rnacentral:rRNA from 1 species
AGAGUUUGAUCCUGGCUCAGAUUGAACGCUGGCGGCAUGCCUUACACAUGCAAGUCGAACGGCAGCACGGGAGCAAUCCUGGUGGCGAGUGGCGAACGGGUGAGUAAAGUAUCGGAACGUACCAUUCAGUGGGGGAUAACGUAGCGAAAGUUACGCUAAUACCGCAUAUUCUGUGAGCAGGAAAGCAGGGGAUCGAAAGACCUUGCGCUGAUUGAGCGGCCGAUAUCAGAUUAGCUAGUUGGUGAGGUAAAGGCUCACCAAGGCGACGAUCUGUAGCGGGUCUGAGAGGAUGAUCCGCCACACUGGAACUGAGACACGGUCCAGACUCCUACGGGAGGCAGCAGUGGGGAAUUUUGGACAAUGGGCGCAAGCCUGAUCCAGCCAUGCCGCGUGAGUGAAGAAGGCCUUCGGG